ACGAGGGCGACCGGAUGUGGGGAGGAAGCGUGGAGCGUAAAUCGCGAGCCGAUGAACAAGAACUGCAUAGAAGGCGCUGCCGGGCAGGGCGAGCAGGCAAAUCACUGCGAAGCUCUUGUGACCAGGGCAAGGUGGCGUAGAUGCAGCGGUUGUGCGAUGAAGGAGUGCGUUC
rnacentral:ncRNA from 1 species